GGGGCUGUAGCUCAGCCUGGCAGAGCACCUGCAUGGCAUGCAGGGGGUCAGGGGUUCGAAUCCCCUCAGCUCCA
rnacentral:tRNA from 1 species